GGUAUUAUACUUUAUUGUUAGAAGAUAUGAUUUGCAAUCAUAAAGAAAGAUUACAUCUUUAAUACCA
rnacentral:tRNA from 1 species